rnacentral:rRNA from 1 species
ACGCUCGACACCUACGGAGGCAGCAGUUAGGAAUAUUGGGCAAUGGAGGAAACUCUGACCCAGCAACGCCGCGUGAAGGAAGAAGGUUUUCGGAUUGUAAACUUCUGAUCUAGGGGAAGAAGGAAGUGACGGUACCCUAGGAGAAAGCCACGGCUAACUACGUGCCAGCACGCCGACGUAUCUGAGGCGGNGNGAGAG